UAAUAACCCUCUCCCGACACCGAAACCCGAACCUUAAGUCGAGAACGUCACGUGUGGAGAACCGGAAUCUGUCAGGCAUCGCCCUACACACGUGACGGGGGAGAAGCCGGACCUGUGUGUGCGGAGCUGACGAGGGAGAGAGGAAGACAGACUGCACCGCAUCUGUAUAUCCAGCCGGAGAAGCUUGAACCCGGGAUCGGAGCCAUGGACAACUCCGGGAAAGAGAAGGAGGCCCUGGCUCUCAUCGCCGAGGCCGAAAAGAAGAUGAAAUCCUCGCAGUCCUUCUUCGCAAAACAUGUUCGGGUGAGUGGAAUACGGGAGCGGCCGGGCUGAGGAGCCCCAAGCCUCGGCGGAGGCAAUCCAGAAAGCCCGAGGAUGCGGUACUUACACUUUUGCAGGCCCUUCAGGGGGGUCCUCCAAGCUGGAAGAAGCCUGUGAGAUGUAUGCCAGAGCAGCCAACAUGUUCAAAAUGGCAAAGAACUGGAGCGGUGAGGCCCCAGCCUUUCUCUGUCUCGCUGAGAGACCGUCACACU